rnacentral:siRNA from 1 species
UGACGGAAUUGUGGCGGGAUC